UACGUAGGGUGCGAGCGUUGUCCGGAAUUACUGGGCGUAAAGAGCUCGUAGGUGGUUUGUCGCGUUGUCCGUGAAAACUCACAACUCAAUUGUGGGCGUGCGGGCGAUACGGGCAGACUGGAGUACUGCAGGGGAGACUGGAAUUCCUGGUGUAGCGGUGGAAUGCGCAGAUAUCAGGAGGAACACCGGUGGCGAAGGCGGGUCUCUGGGCCUUACCUGACGCUGAGGCGCGAAAGCUAGGGGAGCAAACAGG
rnacentral:rRNA from 1 species